GGUCGUUACACACAGCUCUGAGCUUUGCAGCUCCGACACAAACGAGUGGCUGCUCGGUGGGACCCACAUGAGCACAUCUUCCUCCCCCUUCUCCUCUUCCUCCUCCGGUGCUUCCUUUGGAGGGCGCAAUGGCAGAGAUGCAGACGGAGCACCAGGAAAUGCCCACAGCCAUCAGAUGGCACCGAAAUCCCAGGGGGCCAUCGGGGGGGACGGGCACCCAUCGCCCUCAGCUCCCCAGGGCACAGAAACAUCCCCGCGCCCCAAAAUCGCCACCAGUGGGACAACGCCACUGGUGCUCUUUGUAGUGAGGGCAGCUCGUUAGCACCCGGCGUUAAUUGGAGCUGGAGCAGACGGGGACACCCCUCCACGCUUCGGGGAGUGACCGCGGUGAGCAGCACCCCGCAGCGCUGCCUGAUGCUGUUGCCAUUGGCUUUCCCCCAAAACGGCGCCAGGUCCAACUGUGCUGCAGCUCCGACCCCAAAUCGCUGCUGGAGCUUCCACCCCAAAAUCAUUGCUGGCACUCCCACCCCAAGCAUCUGUCACAGCUCCCACCCCAAACAUCUGUCACAGCUCCCACCCCAAAUCAUUGCUGGAGCUCCGACCCCAAAUCACUGCUGGAGCUCCAACCCCAAAUCACUGCUGGAGCUCCGACCCCAAAUCGCUGCUGCAGCUCCGACCCCAAAUCACUGCUGCAGCUCCGACCCCAGAAUCACUGCUGCAGCUCCGACCCCAAAUAUCUGUCACAGCUCCCACCCCAAAUCUCUGUCACAGCUCCCACCCCAAAUCACUCCUGCAGCUCCGAUCCCAAAUCACUCCUGCNNNNNNNNNNNNNNNNNNNNNNCUGCAGCUCCCACCCCAAAUAUCUGUCACAGCUCCCACCCCAAAUCACUGCCACAGCUCUGACCCCAAAUCACUGCUGGAGCUCCCACCCCAAAUCUCUGCCACAGCUCCCACCCCAAAUAUCUGUCGCAGCUCCCACCCCAAAUCACUGCCACAGCUCCCACCCCAAAUCACUGCUGGAGCUCCGACCCCAAAUAUCUGCCACAGCUCCGAUCCCAAAUCACUCCUGCAGCUCCCACCCCA
rnacentral:lncRNA from 1 species